GCCUGGUUAGCUCAAUCGGUAGAGCGUUUGACUCUUAUCAUCAAAAGGUUGCGGGUUCGACCCCCGCAUCGGGCU
rnacentral:tRNA from 1 species